UAGUGAGGAUUAGCAGCUGCCACACUGACAAAAUGGAUGAUAGCAAAAACUUGAAAAAAAAUAAAGAGAGAUCAUGGUGGUGAAUGAUAUAUUAGCCGAUGGACUUCCCUCAACCUUAGCAAAGUUUAAGGAGGCGGACUAGACUUCCCUCUAAAGUACAGGCUUUGCUUUGAAUGAGACUAAAAGCAAGCCUUCGGGUC
rnacentral:lncRNA from 1 species